GUGUCAGCCGCCGCGGUAAUACGUAGGUGGCAAGCGUUGUCCGGAUUUACUGGGCGUAAAGGGAGCGUAGGUGGAUAUUUAAGUGGGAUGUGAAAUACUCGGGCUUAACCUGGGUGCUGCAUUCCAAACUGAAUAUCUAGAGUGCAGGAGAGGAAAGUAGGAUUCCUAGUGUAGCGGUGAAAUGCGUAGAGAUUAGGAAGAAUACCAGUGGCGAAGGCAGCUUUCUGGACUGUAACUGACACUGAGGCUCGAAAGCGUGGGGAGCAAACAGGAUUAGAUACCCCUGUAGUCC
rnacentral:rRNA from 1 species